GUGUUGAGUAUUUUUGAAUGAUUUGUCGCUUUUAUUAUUAAAACUAAAGAAUAAAAGCAACUAAUCAUUCAGAAAUACUCAACAC